rnacentral:rRNA from 1 species
ACGAACGCUGGCGGCGUGCUUAACACAUGCAAGUCGAACGAAGAGCGAUGGAAGCUUGCUUCUAUCAAUCUUAGUGGCGAACGGGUGAGUAACGCGUAAUCAACCUGCCCUUCAGAGGGGGACAACAGUUGGAAACGACUGCUAAUACCGCAUACGAUCUAAUCUCGGCAUCGAGGAUAGAUGAAAGGUGGCCUCUACAUGUAAGCUAUCACUGAAGGAGGGGAUUGCGUCUGAUUAGCUAGUUGGAGGGGUAACGGCCCACCAAGGCGAUGAUCAGUAGCCGGUCUGAGGGGAUGAACGGCCACAUUGGGACUGAGACACGGCCCAGACUCCUACGGGAGGCAGCAGUGGGGAAUCUUCCGCAAUGGACGAAAGUCUGACGGAGCAACGCCGCGUGAGUGAUGACGGCCUUCGGGUUGUAAAGCUCUGUUAAUCGGGACGAAAGGCCUUCUUGCGAAUAGUGAGAAGGAUUGACGGUACCGGAAUAGAAAGCCACGGCUAACUACGUG